rnacentral:rRNA from 1 species
AGUGAACGCUGGCGGCAGGCCUAAUACAUGCAAGUCGAGCGAACAGACGAUGAGCUUUCUCCUCUGACGGUGGCGAGUGGCGGGUGGGUGACACGUAGAUAAGCUACCUCUUAUACGUGGAGGACUUCGUGGGGCAGGAGCUAAUACUACCUAAUAUAUUCAACGGCAUGGUUCAAUAGUUCAUCGCAGCUUUCGUGUCACUUUGAGAUGGAUCCGUGUCGCAUUAGCUAGUUGGUAAGGUAACGGCUUACCAAGGCUACGAUGCGUAGCCGAUCUGAGAGGGUGAUCGGCCACACUGGAACUGAGACACGGUCCAGACUCCUACGGGAGGCAGCAGUAGGGAAUAUUGGGCAAUGGGCGCAAGCCUGAUGGAGCCAUGCCGCGUGAGUGAUGAAGGUCUUCGGAUUGUAAAACUCUGUUAUUAGGGAAGAAAAAAUGUGUAAGUAAAUAUGGACGUUUUGACGGUACCUAAACAGAAAGCAACGGCUAACUACGUG